rnacentral:rRNA from 1 species
GACGAACGCUGGCGGCGUGGAUUAGGCAUGCAAGUCGAACGGUAUCAUCCUUUCGGGGGUGAGAGAGUGGCGAACUGGUGAGUAACACGUAGGUUAUCUACCCUCAAGACGGGGACAACCCAGGGAAACUUGGGCUAAUACCGGAUGUGAGCAACUUUUAGUUGUUUGAAAGGUGGCGUAAGCUGUCGCUUGGGGAUGAGCCUGCGUCCUAUUAGUUAGUUGGUGAGGUAACGGCUCAACCUAGGCAAUGAUAGGUAGGCGGCCUUAACGGGUGGUCGCCCACACUGGGAUUGAGAUACGGCCCAGACUCCUACGGGAGGCAGCAGUCGAGAAUAGUCUACAAUGGUCGGAAGACUGAUAGUGCGACGCCGCGUGAACGAUGAAUCCCUUCGGGAUGUAAAGUUCUUUUAUAUGUGAGCAGUGCUUCUUAUAUUAACAGUAAUGGGGAAGAGAUAUUAGCAUAUGAAUAAGCAACGGCUAACUCCGUGCCAGCAGCCGCGGUAAA